UUCUUCAAUUCAAAUGGGAAUUUGAGUUCAGUGGGUUGAAUGUUGAGAAGAUCUCCGGUGGUCAUGACUUUCCAAUCAGAAAAUCAGUUAAUAUUAUGAGAACUGAAAUCUGUAUGAAGAUUAGGGUUUGUGGUGGUGGAGGAAUAACUUGUUCAGCCCUUUAAGUUGAGUGUGAUCGAAGAGACUGGAAACAGAAAUGGCAGAAA
rnacentral:misc_RNA from 1 species